UUGGCUUUCGAUGCGCCCCCUUUUGUCCCGGUUUAAAGUUGGUCCGGGACAAAAGGUUCACCAACCGGGACUAAAGCUCGGUCACUGGUGGGGGGCUCACUAACCGGGACCUUUUAUCCCGGUUGCAAAGGCUAGUGGGAAAAAAAUACUAGUAGAGAAUUGGCUUUCGAUGCGCCCCCUUUUGUCCCGGUUUAAAGUUGGCCCGGGACAAAAGGUUCACCAACCGAGACUAAAGCCCGGUCACUGGUGGGGGGCUCACCAACCGGGACCUUUUAUCCCGGUUGCAAAGGCUAGUGGGAAAAAAAGACCCUGAGAGGCCUUUUAUCCCGGUUUGAAACACCAACCGGGAUAAAAGACCCCCCCCUUUUAUCCCGGU
rnacentral:lncRNA from 1 species